CGGGGAGUGGCGCAGCUUGGUAGCGCGCUUCGUUCGGGACGAAGAGGCCGCUGGUUCAAAUCCAGUCUCCCCGACCA
rnacentral:tRNA from 1 species